UGGUUUACAAAUUCCAAACAAGAAAUGAAAUUGGUGAUUUUUUUCAGGUUGUUGUGUUUUCUAAUACUAAACUGGGUAAUAUUGUGAUAGCGUUCUCAUAAUUUGACACUAUAACAGCAGGAAACAUCUAUCUCUGCCAUUGUGCUUCAUAGGUAGACUGUGGCUCUGCCUCAUUCUAUCUUCACUUCUGGUGACAAGGCUAACGGCGAAGUUUCCUACCGGAAGUACAGGAAGUACUGCUGGCAAAGAGAAGUUUCCUACCGGAAGUACCGGAAGUACUGUUGACAAGGCUAAUGGAGAAGUUUCCUACCGGAAGUACCGGAAGUACUGUUGGCAAAGAGAAGAGAAAACAUUAGUAAACCAUGUGCUAGUUGUUGAAGCUUCUCCUCGGUGUUUAUCAAAAAUUCACUUCAAACUUCAUCAUAGAUGACCCCUGUCAUUUGGCUGUAUAACAAGAUCCCUCAAACUGGAUGAGUUAUAAAGAAUAGAAGAUUAUUCUGGUUAUGGUUGUGAAGAUGACAAAGUUGAAGAACAUGAGGCCCAUCUCGGCUAGGUUUCUGGUGCCAGUUCCCUGUAUUUUGUAACCUCCUGCUGUAGGAUUUCCUACUCUGCUGUCUCUGAGGACUUGAAACACCAUCAGAAUAAUCCUGUGAUCCCAAGAGGUGAAUAGCAUCAUGAAAUCCAAGAAAAUCAAGUGAUUUCAGGUUGGAAAAUCUGAGAGCAGAUCAAGGAGCAACAACCCUAUGGAAUAUUUGGCAGCCUGAGCAACUUUGUUGAAGAUAACAAUAUGCAAUGUACCAACCACUGUUAAUCUCCAUCAUUUGGUUUG